rnacentral:lncRNA from 1 species
CAUAAAAUAAUAAAACUAUCUUGUUUAUAUGUGCUAAGUUACUGGUUUAUAACUUUUAAUAUUCAAGAAUAAAGCAAGGGAAGCAGCCAGGUAUAGGAGCCACAGAUGCUUUUUCAAGCGUGGCUGUGAGAUGCGCCAAAACAAACCGUAGCCCCGAGCUUGUGGUGACAGAAGAUAGGCCGAUUUUCUGCUUCUGACUUUGGCCGUGCAGUCAGUGGCGCCGUGGCUACCGGAACCAAGUUGAGGGGUGUUGGCCAAGCUGUUGGAACUGAACUGUUUUGUCUCACCCCUUCAGCAUGUCUGCUCAGCCUCUGAUUCCUUUUGCUCUUCAGUCACAGUAACUCUUCUGUGUGAGACACAGGUUUUCAGACUCCAUUCCAAGGAACCCAGCCUCCCACCCCCAGCCAAAGGAGUUGAGUGUUUAAGAUGUUUCCUACCUCGCUGAUUUAAACCACUUGAAGAACUCACUUUUAUUUUUCCUCCUUGAUCUGUCUACAUGUAUAUAUAUACUGGAGUUCCAAAUUACGUUAUUAUAAGAAUUACGUUUAAGGAAUGUCUGAAAACUACUUUGGGAAAUUAGUCCAUUAGAUAGUAAGUGGCCUGUAGGGGAGCGUUCUCAUAAGAGUUUUUAUUUCUUUGAAAUGGC